CCUACGGGUGGCAGCAGUGGGGAAUAUUGGACAAUGGGCGAAAGCCUGAUCCAGCCAUGCCGCGUGUGUGAAGAAGGCCUUCGGGUUGUAAAGCACUUUCAGUGGGGAAGAAAGCCUUUGGGCUAAUACCCUCGAGGAAGGACAUCACCGACAGAAGAAGCACCGGCUAACUCCGUGCCAGCAGCCGCGGUAAUACGGAGGGUGCGAGCGUUAAUCGGAAUUACUGGGCGUAAAGCGCGCGUAGGCGGUUUGAUAAGCCGGUUGUGAAAGCCCCGGGCUCAACCUGGGAACGGCAUCCGGAACUGGCAGGCUAGAGUGCAGGAGAGGAAGGUGGAAUUCCCGGUGUAGCGGUGAAAUGCGUAGAGAUCGGGAGGAAUACCAGUGGCGAAGGCGGCCUUCUGGACUGACACUGACGCUGAGGUGCGAAAGCGUGGGUAGCAAACAGGAUUAGAUACCCUAGUAGUC
rnacentral:rRNA from 1 species